rnacentral:rRNA from 1 species
UGCGUAGGCGGAUUUUUAAGUCAGUGGUGAAAGCCCGGAGCUCAACUCCGGAACUGCCAUUGAUACUAUUAAUCUUGAAUACAGUUGAGGUGGGCGGAAUGUGUAGUGUAGCGGUGAAAUGCUUAGAUAUUACACAGAACAUCGAUUGCGAAGGCAGCUCGCUAAACUGUUAUUGACGCUGAGGCACGAAAGCGUGGGGAGCGAACAGGAUUAGAUACCCUGGUAGUCC